rfam:Haloquadratum walsbyi DSM 16790 complete genome
GCGCUGGUGGUCUAGUGGUAUGACCUGAGCCUUCCAAGCUCAUGACCCGGGUUCAAAUCCCGGCCGGCGCA